AGCGGCGCCGCCGCGCCCCCUCUCGGUUUUUGCCUCCGACGAGGCCCUUCCCGGCCUCCGUUUGAUGCAAUUUUUAUAUCACCGUGAUCACCAUUCUUUUAUCUACAGGUUGACCGGAGCCGAAUCACCAAAACACGAACCUCGCCGGAGAGCCGCCGCACCCGAGAGCGCCGCCGCCGGUAAGCUCCGUUUUUCCGUGAUUUUUUUACCCCCCGAGGGCCCUAGGG
rnacentral:lncRNA from 1 species